rnacentral:rRNA from 1 species
AACGCUAGCUACAGGCUUAACACAUGCAAGUCGAGGGGUAACAAGAGGAAAGCUUGCUUUUCUUGUUGACGACCGGCGCACGGGUGAGUAACGCGUAUCCAACCUGCCUAUAACUAGGGAAUAACCUUGCGAAAGUAAGACUAAUACCCUAUGAUUUCCUUUGAUGGCAUCAGAUUAGGAAUAAAGAUUUAUCGGUUAUAGAUGGGGAUGCGUCUGAUUAGCUUGUUGGCGGGGUAACGGCCCACCAAGGCAACGAUCAGUAGGGGUUCUGAGAGGAAGGUCCCCCACAUUGGAACUGAGACACGGUCCAAACUCCUACGGGAGGCAGCAGUGAGGAAUAUUGGUCAAUGGGCGGAAGCCUGAACCAGCCAAGUAGCGUGCAGGAUGACGGCCCUAUGGGUUGUAAACUGCUUUUAUACAGGAAUAAAGUUAGCCACGUGUGGUUAUUUGUAGGUACUGUAUGAAUAAGGACCGGCUAAUUCCGUGCCAGCAGCCGCGGUAAUACGGAAGGUCCAGGCGUUAUCCGGAUUUAUUGGGUUUAAAGGGAGCGUAGGCCGUCUGUUAAGCGUGUUGUGAAAUGUAGAUGCUCAACAUCUGAAUUGCAGCGCGAACUGGCAGACUUGAGUGUGCGCAACGUAGGCGGAAUUCGUGGUGUAGCGGUGAAAUGCUUAGAUAUCACGAAGAACUCCGAUUG